UCAAGUUUUACUUGUCAGGACAUUAUGGCAAUGGUUGAACUUUCAACCAUUAUAUACAGGUGCUGGUCAUAUAAUUAGAAUAUCAUCAAAAAGUUCAUUUUUUUAUUAUAAAUUAUUUUUAAAAACGAAACUUUCAUAUAUUCUAGAUUCCCUACAUGUAAAGUAAAACAUUUCAAAAGUUUUUUUUUUAAAUUUUGAUGAUUAGAGCGUACAGCUCAUGAAAGUCCAAAAUCCAGUAUUUCAAAAUAUUAGAAUAUUUCCUAAAAUCAAUCAAAAAAUGGAUUUGCAAAACAGAAAAGUUAAAGUUCUUUAAAGUAUGUUCUUUUGUGCACUCAAUACUUGAUCGGCAGGACAUAUUACAGCAAAUGACUUGCUCCUAGCACAAAUUACUGCAUCAGUGAAGUGUGGCAUGGAAGUGAUCAGCCUGUGGCACUGCUGAGGCACUAUUGAGCCUUCAGAUCAUCUGUAUAUUGUUGGAUCGACUGUUUCUCAUCCUUCUCUUGAAAAUAUCCCAUAGAUUCAGGUCAGGCAUAUUGGCUGGCCAAUAAAGCACAGUAAUAUCAUGGUCAGCAAACCACUUGGAAGUGGUUUUUGCACUGUGGGCAGAUGCUAAAGUUCUGCUGGAAAAGGAAAUCAGCAUCUCCAUAAAGCUUGUCAGCAGAUGGAAGCAUAAAGUGCUUCAAAAUCUCCUGGAAGAUGGCUGCAUUGACUUUGCACUUGAUAAAACACAAUGGACCAACACCAGCAGACGUCACGCCCCCCCCAAAUCAUUAUUGACUUCAGAAACUUCACACUAGACUUCAAGCAGCUUGGAUUCUGUGCCUCUCCAGUCUUCCUUCAGACUCUGGGACCAUGAUUUCAACAUGAAAUGCAAAAUUUACUUUUAUCUGAAAAGAGGACUUUCGACCACUGUUCACUGUCCAGUUCUUUUUCUCCUUAGCCCAGGUAAGAUGCCUCUGACGUUGUCUCUGGUUCAGAAGUGGCUUGGUAGUCCUUUUCCUGAAGAUGUCUGAGUGUGGUGACUCUUGAUGCGCUGACUCCGGCUUCAUUCUACUCAUUGUGAAGCUCUCCCAAGUGUUUGAAUCGGCUUUACUUGACAGUAUUCUCAAGCUUGCGGUCAUCCCUGUUGCUUGUGCACCUUUGCCUACCCAAUUUCUUCCUUCCAGUCAACUUUGCAUUUAAUAUGCUUUGAUACAUCACUCUGUAAACAGCCACCCCAUUCAGUAAUGACCUUCUGUGACUUACUCUCUUUGUGGAGGGUGUCAAUGAUUGUCUCCUGGACCAUUGCCAAGUCAGCAGUCUUCCCCAUUAGUGUGGUUUCAAAAAACAAAAGAUACCCGGAUUUUAUACUGUAGGGAUGGUCAUUUAAUGAAACUCAAAUGUAAAUAUUCUAAUAUUUUGAGAUACUGGAUUUUGGACUUUCAUUAGCUGUACGCUCUAAUCAACAAAUUUACAAAAAAAAAACUUUUGAAAUGUUUUACUUUACAUGUAGGGAAUCUAGAAUAUAUGAAAGUUUCAUUUUUUAAAAUAAUUUACAAUAAAAAAAUGAACUUUUUCACGAUAUUCUAAUUAUAUGACCAGCACCUGUAUGUGUAUGUGCAUACACACACACACAAACACACACAUGUCCUCCUGGGACCCAGGAAUAGACUUUUGUCCUCUGUAGUGGACAUUAUAUUUUAGUGAUUUUCUCUGACAUCAUACAUGUCACAGUUUUAACUCAGCAGUCCUGUAAAGAGCACAUUCAGGGCUUUGCAGAGAUGCCACAUUUUUGGAGGUUUCACCAUGACAACAACUGUUUGUUAUUAAUCAACAUCUCAGGAAAAUAUUAUGGGGAUUCUAAUCAAAAUAUGACUUCCUUUUACAAAACAAGGCAUUGAUUUCAUACAUGUCCACUGCAGAGGACACCAGGACUUAAAGGUGCACUAUGCUGUUUUUCCAUCCGCUAGGGGGCGCCUAUUCAAAACAAAGGCGUAGCUUGAUGACACUAAGUUUGAGCGCGGAAUCUUGGGACAUGUGGUCUUCACCUCACAGCCGGUGGAAAUAAAUCGGGAUAGGACUCGGGUAGAAAUCAUGUUCAUGGAUGCGAUUAUUAACAUUACUGUAGUAUGAAGCAGAGCAGGACCGAGUGUUGUGGGAGCUGAAGGAGGCCGCUGGAGCGAUUGCGCAACACGCCGCGAGCAGCGGAACUUUUAUUAUGCCGCAGUCGCCGGCGCUGCUUCCGCUUUUCCGGUCAUGAGUAUGAGAUAUGGCUAUAGCUCCACCGGUAAUGUGGAGUUCGGGUUCCUGCUCUCUCCUGCCCCCUACUGUCCACACACCAGCAGUGACCUGUGGACCCGUGGCACUGCUGAGGCCUGUACUGACCCUCCUCAUCACACUGAGGGAUGAAGGCUCCUACACGAGGAACACC